rnacentral:rRNA from 1 species
GAAGCGACAAUAGCUCACCAUGUGAAUCUGCGUCAAGCCGAAUUGUGGUCUCACUUGCGCUAUUGGGCCGGGCCAAGUCCGUUGGAACACGGCAGCCGAGAGGGUGACACUCCCGUCCGCCCGGCCCUCUGAGCUUGUGUAUUCGAGUCGAGUUGUUUGGGAUUGCAGCUCUAAGCGGGUGGUAAAUUCCAUCGAAAGCUAAAUACUGGUGGGAGACCGAUAGCGUACAAGUACCGUGAGGGAAAGAUGCAAAGAAGCGCGAAAGCGCUGUUAAAGAGUACCUGAACUUGCUGAAACGGAAGCGAAGGAAACCAG